GUUUUGUGAGUGAAAUAUUGUUUAUUCCUUCUCGAGCCACGCCUGGCUCAUAAGGGCCGGUUUUUCGGUUUCAUUGGUGUAUAUGUUUCCGACCUGGACGGGACGCCGGUCCGUCGCAGGUGAGCUGCAAGAUGCAGGAAGAAAGAGUGAGAGAAAGUUGUGGGGAAAAAGUCAGCAGAAGUUCGCCACUACCUUUUCUC